rnacentral:lncRNA from 1 species
UGUUCUUUAUUGACUCUCUCUUACCUUACCCAAAGACUAGCCCUUUUUACAUGUUUAUAUAAAAGACUCAGAUUAAGCUCUACCCACUACAUCACAGCAGGUUAAGCUCACCUGCUCUACCCACUACAUCACAAGCUCACCUGCUCUACCCACUACAUCACAUCCGACAGAGACAGGACGGACUUCUUCAUAUUCUCCAUUUGGGGUUUAUACGAAGUAUCAGUAUGGCCUUUACUCCCCCUCAAACUUGGCGUAGAAGGCACGGAAACACCAAGUUUGUUACGCCAUUUGAAAAACGGUUCCUGCGACAAGGAUUUGGUAAAGACAUCUGCAAUUUGCAGCGUCGCAGGAAUGUGUUUCACCUCCAAAGCCUUCAUUGCUACCCUUUCUCUGACAUAAUGGUAGUCGACGUCGAAGUGUUUCGUCCGUUUAUGAAACAUUGGGUUGGCUGUAAGACAAACAGCAGACAGAUUGUCACACAAUAACAGAGGAGUAACUCGUUGUUGGAGUCCCAUUAUCUUCAGGAGAUUUUGUAACCACACUAUCUCUGAUGUUGCGGCUGACAUCGUCCGAUACUCUGCCUCAGUGGAAGACUUUGAGACAGCGUCAUGGCGUUUAGCUGACCAUGAAAUAACAUUAGUUCCCAACAUAGUACAGAACCCACCAGUUGAUCUGCGAGUAUCUUUACAUCCAGCCCAGUCGGAAUCACUAUAACAUACCAGAGUAGAGUCACAGUGACCUUUAAUACUAAUCCCCAUAUCAAAUGUUCCCUUCACAUACCGCAAGAUGCGCUUCAGUAGACUGAAAUCCGAGACACUUGGUUGAUGCAUCUUCUGACAUAUGUAAUUGACUGAGAAUUGGAGAUCAGGUCUUGUCAGAGUAAGGUACUGCAGUUUUCCUGCAAGACUUCUGAAGUACGAUGGCUCAGAAAAUAGUUGAUCAUGACCAGGAAGAUUAUCGAGCUUCAUAGGAAGUGGAGUAGACAUAGUUGAGCAGUCUCUCAUGCCAGCAGUUACCAGAAGAUCCUGAGCAUACUUAGACUGAUUUAGAAACAAGCCAUCUUCACACUGAUGUACUUGAAUGCCAAGAAAGUAGUGAAUUGAUCCCAUGUCCUUCAUGCGAAAAACUGAACUGAGCUUUUCAAGGAGAACCUUCAUCAUAUCAUCGACAUAAAGUAACAGAUAAAUAACGUCUGUACCGCGAUGAUAGAUAAACAGAGAAGGAUCAGGAAAGCUACACUGAAACCCAAACUGUAGUAGAAAUUUGCUAAACUUAUCAAACCAGGCCCUUGGUGCUUGUUUAAGACCGUAGAUGGCUUUCUUCAAUUUGCAUACAUGAUCUGGUUUCAUUAAAUCCUCAAAACCUGGAGGUUGCAUCAUGUACACAGACUCCUUUAAGUCACCAUGAAGAAAUGCGUUCUGAACAUCAAGUUGUUUUAUCAUCCAUUUCUUUGUGACUGCAACAUGCAACACUGUCCUUAUGGUAGCUGUUCGAACAACUGGACUGAAGGUUUCCCAAAAAUCAACUCCUUCUUCUUGUUCGUUUCCUCUAGCGACCAGACGAGCUCGAGGUUUUAAAACUGUACCAUCAGCAUUUAGUUUAGUCUUGUAAACCCAUCCACAACCAACUGGAUUUUGAUCUUCUUCAGGUGGAACUAACUCAUAUGUCUCUGUUUCUGCCAUGUUAUUUAUCUCUUCCUGCAUUGCUCCAUUCCACCUUGGAUCUUUUAAAGCUGCUUUGACACUUCUAGGCUCAGGACAAUCUGUUUUGAUGGUCACCAUUGCAUAUCUUGGAUUUGGUUUGAUGAUACCAGCUCUAGCUCUUGUAGUCAUAGGGUGCGGGUUUUGCACAACUGGGACUGGCCUCACUAUCUGUUCAACUUCGUCGUUAUCAGACUGAGAGAUAGAUGAAGUUGACGCUGCCUCAGAUGUUGAAUCCUCAUCAUCUUGAUUUUGAGGUACUGGACUUGGUGUCAUUUGAACCAUUACUUGUCUCUGGACAGGCGAAGGUAGAUCUUCUUCCAGUACUUCAGCAUCACUAACUUGAUCUUCUUGUGUCAGAUUCACACUCCUCCACGCAUUUAGUAAUGUUGAAGCUGUAGCUUUGUGAAAGCGACUAUAUAUAUCUCCAAAAGGAAAAUGAUUUUCAUCAAACAAGACAUGUCUUGAGAUAAAAACCUUUCCAGUAGGUGGAUAUAAGCAUCGAUAACCCUUAUAUUUUUCAUUAUAUCCCAAGAACACACACACAAGUGACUUUGGAUCCAUUUUAUUCUUCAUGUACGGUCUGAGAUAAGGGUAACAUUUGCACCCAAAAACUCGCAGAGAAGUGUAUACCGGAGCUGUUCCAUUCAGCACUUCAUAGGGACUCUUUCGAUCUUUGAGAACUGAUGAUGGCAACAGGUUACCAAGGAACGCUGAAGUGAAGAACGCCUCCACCCAUAGCUGUUGUGGCACCUUACUCUCAAACAUCAUUGUGAUCCCAAGUUCAGUGAUGUGUCGAUGUUUCCUCUCUGCCAAUCCAUUUUGUUGAGGAGUGUGGGGACAUGACACAAGCUGCUUAAUACCGCAAGUCUGUAAGUGUUGCAUAAACCGUUUGUUGACAAAUUCUCCCCCUCCAUCACACUGAAACUGAGCUAUACGAUGCUUGUAUUGGUUCUCAACCAUUGUUUGAAACCGGAGGAAGACAGAAAAGAAGUCAGACUUGAGCUUGAGUGGAUAAAACCAAGUAAACCUUGAAUAAUUAUCAAUGAAAAUGACAUAGUAUCUGAACCCCUGGGAUGAAACCACAGGACUAGGCCCCCACAAAUCACAAUGAACCCUUUCUAAUGGAUGACUAGAGACAGAAUCAGAGUCUACAAAGGGAAGCUUUGAGCUUUUUCCUAAAUAACAAGCAUCACAACAGAGACGUGAGCUUGUCUUAUUCAUAACUAUUGCCAGACUUCUGGAGAGAUGCUGAAGAACAUCCACAUUUGUAUGCCCAAGCCUUCUAUGCCACACACCAUCACUCGCUGCUUGCUGUCUGGUUGAAUAGAAUGCUUGAAACUGCAGGUCCUUCAGCACAUAGAGAUCUUUAAGUCUUUGCCCUUGUGUUAUCACCCUUUUUGUUACCUUGUCCUUAACACAUACAGAAUCACAGUCGAAGGUGAACUCACACGGAUAGUCAGAUGUUAACUUGGAAACUGAUAACAGUGACUUAGAUAUACCAGGACAUAUCAACACAUCAUUAAGAGGCAAGUUACCUUGAGGUGUUUGAAGAGCGAUAGAGCCUACAUGAGUAAUUGGUAAGUAGUCUCCAUUACCAACCAUGACUUGAUCACUUCCAAAAUAAGGUUCAGAACUUUGAAGUUGUUCACUGUUGCUGGUAAUGUGAGCUGUUGCAGCUGAGUCUGGGUACCAUUCCUGUCCUGAGUGACGACCUUGAUCAGAAACUUUCAUUGCAGCAAGAGCUGUGUGAAUGUUGUCUGGUGUUUGAAAAUCCUGAUCAAAUCUGUUGUAGCAGCGAGCAGCAGUGUGGCCAUAUCUCCCACAGAUUUGACAAGUAGGUUUUGUAGUGGAGUUUGAACCGGAACCUCCUGAGAAUUGCUGUUGAAAACCUCUGCCUCUAGUUGAGUAUGACAUAUUACCACGACCACGGUAACCUCCUCGAUUAUUGUAGCUUCCACGACCUCGAGUGUUGUAUCCUCUUCCAGCAUGAAAUGCUAAGUGAGGAUUGACUUCACUUUGUUGAGUGAACGUCUGAAGUUUCUCAUCAAAAGCAACCAACUUGUAAACAGCAUCUUCAAAACUCAUUUGUGGAACAACAUCCAUGGAGUGUUCUAUCACCGUACAGAUUGAUUCAUACUCUUUUCCUAACCCACUGAGUGCUCCAUAAAUCAUUUCUUGAUCAGUAAGAACACUUCCUAUAGAAUCUAGUUGAUCACAGACACCUUUGACUUCUCCUAAGUACUCAGUCAUGGCCUUUGAUCCUUUGGACAUACCCUGAAGUUUACGUUGCAGAUCUAACUUGCGUGUUGCAGAAACUCUAUUAUACUUCUUUCCUAGACUGAGCCACACUUCUUGCACUGAGUGUAGACCAUACACAGAACGUAAUGCUUCUUCAGACAGAGACCCAAACAGCCACGCCAUAACCAACUGAUCUUUACGAAUCCAUUUGACAAACUCUGGAUUUGGCUCCUCUGUAACAUCAUCACCGUUUCUUCUGGUAACUGUAGGUGUAGGACGAGCCGUAGAUCCAUCAAGGUAACCAAGCAGAGACUGACUUGAGAGAAACGAUUCGAACUGAGUCUUCCAGAGAAGAUAGUUCGAGGAUGAAAGCUUCAGAGUAACACAGUGAGAGAUACUCAAUGUUGGAGUUGAAAACGUUUCUGAAACCUCUUCCAUGGCUCUGAUACCAUGUAAAAGGCAAGAAACAAAGACAAGAUAAAGAUGAAAACGUGUUCUUUAUUGACUCUCUCUUACCUUACCCAAAGACUAGCCCUUUUUACAUGUUUAUAUAAAAGACUCAGAUUAAGCUCUACCCACUACAUCACAGCAGGUUAAGCUCACCUGCUCUACCCACUACAUCACAAGCUCACCUGCUCUACCCACUACAUCACAUCCGACAGAGACAGGACGGACUUCUUCAUAUUCUCCAUUUGGGGUUUAUACGAAGUAUCAGUAUGGCCUUUA